GGGCCAAGAAGAAGUAUUAGGACCAAAGUUCGUCACAUAAGUUGAUUUGACAUUCCAGCUCAACUAGUAAUUGGUUUAAACGGAUCAAGUUUAGAAAGAGCAUUAUACAGAUUGUUGAAAGAAAAAUGUCUAGUCCCCUCAUAUCCUUUCUCAAGGGGUGAUUGGUUAAGAUUCUAGUUGCAUUGGGCGCUAUCAAAUCUCGCCAUUUGUGGUUAGAUAUGGAGCAUCUUCAAGCUUCAGGAAGCAAUUCAGAAUGUUUUAAUUUGUGUAGAAAUAAUUUUCUUUUCUAAACAUCAACUGCAAAAAGGUUGCUACCUAUUGCAACUAUAAUAAAAUAGGAGACAUCUGUUCAAUAACUUAUCUUUCUAAUUUGAUCUUUUCUAAUAAGAAAAUAAAGAAAUAGUCUCUUGAAAAGGGAUUACUUAGGUAAGCAUUAAAUCAGACUCUCUUAGUUCAAUUAAAAGGGUAAGGAUGAAAUUUGGAUGUUUAUGGGAUGUUGCAGAUUUUUUUUUCUUAAGUAUGCAGAUGGCACAAAUGCACAACAAGAUAGCUUCAGAAAAAGAACAAACACGUUGAACAACUUGCUAACAAAGGAGAGCAGAUAUAUCAUCUUCAAUGUGCUAUUUUCUUAUCUUCAAAAGUCUUAGCAUCGACAACAAAUGUUGAAUUCAUAGCCUAACUUUCGUUUUAAACCAAAAAAGUGAGGUUAUAGCUUAUUACAGUUAA